rnacentral:rRNA from 1 species
UACGUAGGGUGCGAGCGUAAAUCGGAUUUACUGGGCGUAAAGCGUGCGCAGGCGGCCCGUUAAGACAGGUGUGAAAUCCCUGGGCUCAACCUAGGAAUUGCGCUUGUGACUGGCGGGCUCGAGUACGGUAGAGGGGGGUGGAAUUCCUGGUGUAGCAGUGAAAUGCGUAGAGAUCAGGAGGAACACCGAUGGCGAAGGCAGCCCCCUGGGCCUGUACUGACGCUCAUGCACGAAAGCGUGGGGAGCAAACAGG